CCGCCGGUAGCGUAGUGGUUAUCGCACCAGACAGCCAUUCUGGAGGUCGUGGGUUCGGAUCCCACCCGGCGGG
rnacentral:tRNA from 1 species